UAUUUAGAGAAAAUUAGUUAACUAGUCACAAUCUCUAACAUAUUUAAUAAAAUAUCUAUACUUUAAAAUAAUUAAUAAAGCUGUCAAUAUUUUUGAAAAUAAAUUGUAUCCUAAUAUAAGUAACCUUCUUUCCUUUUAUUUCUCAAAUCUGAUCCACAUUGAACAAUUUUUUACUCAUUUGUACUACAAGUUUUUAAAACAUAAAUACACCCAUUACUCAGUUACCCCUCUUUUUAGGUUUUAUCUCAAAUCACUCAUUUUUCUCUCCUCCUUUUUAAACCAUUGUCAUCUCUUUUCCUUGUUCAAGAAAAUCAACUCUUCGAAUUUACUAUACUUUUUUCAAGAAAUCUUGCAAUCAAUUCAAAAGAUUCUUAACUCGUUGAUAAAAGGGUUACUAAUGCAUAAGUGAAUAUGUGAGUUUGGUGAAAAAAAUC